CCUACGGGAGGCAGCAGUGGGGAAUCUUGCGCAAUGGGCGAAAGCCUGACGCAGCAACGCCGCGUGCGGGAAGAAGGCUUUCGGGCUGUAAACCGCUUUCAGCAGGAACGAAAAUGACGGUACCUGCAGAAGAAGGAGCGGCCAACUAUGUGCCAGCAGCCGCGGUGAUACAUAGGCUUCAAGCGUUGUCCGGAUUUAUUGGGCGUAAAGAGUUCGUAGGCGGUCAAGUAAGUCGGGUGUGAAAAUUCUGGGCUCAACCCAGAGACGCCACCCGAUACUGCUUAACUUGAGUUCGAUAGGGGAGUGGGGAAUUCCUAGUGUAGCGGUGAAAUGCGCAGAUAUUAGGAGGAACACCGGUGGCGAAGGCGCCACUCUGGAUCGAUACUGACGCUGAGGAACGAAAGCAUGGGUAGCAAACAGGAUUAGAUACCCUGGUAGUCCAUGCCGUAAACGGUGGGCACUAGGUGUGGGUUUCUAUUAACGAAAUCCGCGCCGUCGCUAACGCAUUAAGUGCCCCGCCUGGGGUGGUACGGUCGCGAGACGUAAACGUUAAAGUAAAGUUAGACGGUCGUGAGACGUUGUCCGAACGGACGACGACGAGGGAGGUAGG
rnacentral:rRNA from 1 species